rnacentral:rRNA from 1 species
UGGGGAAUAUUGCACAAUGGGCGCAAGCCUGAUGCAGCCAUGCCGCGUGUGUGAAGAAGGCCGUCGGGUUGUAAAGCACUUUCAGCGAGGCGGAAGGGUAGUGUGUUAAUAGCACAUUGCAUUUACGUUACUCGCAGAAGAAGCACCGGCUAACUCCGUGCCAGCAGCCGCGGUAAUACGGAGGGUGCAAGCGUUAAUCGGAAUUACUGGGCGUAAAGCGCACGCAGGCGGUUUGUUAAGUCAGAUGUGAAAUCCCCGCGCUUAACGUGGGAACUGCAUUUGAAACUGGCAAGCUAGAGUCUUGUAGAGGGGGGUAGAAUUCCAGGUGUAGCGGUGAAAUGCGUAGAGAUCUGGAGGAAUACCGGUGGCGAAGGCGGCCCCCUGGACAAAGACUGACGCUCAGGUGCGAAAGCGUGGGGAGCAAACA